rnacentral:rRNA from 1 species
AUACGGAGGGUGCAAGCGUUAUCCGGAAUCAUUGGGUUUAAAGGGUCCGUAGGCGGAUUGGUAAGUCAGUGGUGAAAGUCUGCAGCUUAACUGUAGAAUUGCCAUUGAUACUGCUAGUCUUGAAUUACUGUGAAGUGAUUAGAAUGUGUAGUGUAGCGGUGAAAUGCAUAGAUAUUACACAGAAUACCAAUUGCGAAGGCAGAUCACUAACAGUAUAUUGACGCUGAGGGACGAAAGCGUGGGGAGCGAACAGGAUUAGAUACCCUUGUAGUCC